rnacentral:rRNA from 1 species
AUUGAACGCUGGCGGCAUGCUUUACACAUGCAAGUCGAACGGUAACAGGCCGCAAGGUGCUGACGAGUGGCGAACGGGUGAGUAAUGCAUCGGAACGUGCCCAGUCGUGGGGGAUAACUACUCGAAAGAGUAGCUAAUACCGCAUACGAUCUAUGGAUGAAAGCGGGGGACCGUAAGGCCUCGCGCGAUUGGAGCGGCCGAUGUCAGAUUAGGUAGUUGGUGGGGUAAAGGCUCACCAAGCCAACGAUCUGUAGCUGGUCUGAGAGGACGACCAGCCACACUGUGACUGAGACACGCCCCAGACUCCUACGGGCGGCAGCAGUGGGGAAUUUUGGACAAUGGGCGCAAGCCUGAUCCAGCAAUGCCGCGUGCAGGAAGAAGGCCUUCGGGUUGUAAACUGCUUUUGUACGGAACGAAACGGCUCUGGUUAAUACCCGGGGCUAAUGACGGUACCGUAAGAAUAAGCACCGGCUAACUACGUG